AACAAUGGGCAACAGGUUCAGGAUGGCUUACUCCACUCGGACGCGGGGGGAAAAUAACAAGUGCAAUGGAUAGGAACAACGCUCAGGGCCACCUUGCUCCGCUCGGGGACAAGAACGCCCCGUGGAUUAUCACGAGGAGGAGGACUUUAUGGCAGCUGGAAGAAGCUGUAAGUAGUAGCCUCAUGCUGAUGGCAAGGGUUCCGGCAGUGCUGCCACUGGGGCUGGGCACAAUGUGGCCUCCCAUGCUGCAACCGUGGGGUGGUGGCAACGGCUACACCAUCUCCGGUGAUCUACUCAGAAUUUCUUGCUGCUGCUCGUCCUGAAUAUGGAGCGUGUCUUGUAGCUGAAUAAUGGCCAACAGGUUCAGGACGACUUCCUCCACCGGACGCGGGGGAAAAGAACGAGUGCAAUGGAUAGGAUUAUCACGACGAGGAGGACUAUAUGGCAGCUGCAAGAAGCUCUAGUACCUGCCCACAGCAGCCUCAUGCUCAUGGCAAGGGCUCCGGCUGUGCUGCUGCUGCUGCUGGGCACACUGUGCCCCCCCAUGCCGCAACCAAUGUGUGCUGGCAACAUCUCCGGUAUCUACUCAGAAUUUCUUGCUGCCGCUCGUCCUGAAUAUGGAGAUUGCCUUAUAGCUGAAUAAUGGGCAACAGGUUCAGGAUGACUUCCUCCACUCGGCCGCGGGGGAAAAGAAUAAGUGCAAUGGAUAGGAUUAUCACGACGAGGAGGACUAUAUGGUAGCUGGAAGAAGCUGUAGUAGCUGCCCGCAGCAGCCUCAUGCUCAUGGCAAGGGCUCCAGCGGUGCUGCUGCUGGGCACACCCUCGCCUCCCACGCCGCAACCGUGGGGUGCUGGCAAAUGGCUACACCAUCUCCGGUGAUCUGCUCAAGUUCCCUUCUACCUCU